ACGCCUCACAACCUCUUCCAGUCCAGCCGAACCAGCCCCUCCCAGUCCCGCCGAACCAGCGCCUCGCAUCCCCUCCCAGCAGCGCCUCCUAACCCCUUCCAGCAGCGCGAACCGGCGAACCCAUUAGCAACGUUCAGCCCCUCCCAGAUGAUUGUUCAUUUAUUUGUUGCUGAUUUUUGUUGAUUGUUGUAUUUUUACUCCAAUUUAGUUUCGAUAUGUACAUUCACUGGGUUGUUCAUACUGAAAUUGCUGUUCAUACUGAAUUACUGAAACUACUUCUGGGUUGUUCAUACUGAAUUACUGAAAUUGCUGUACUGUUUGCUGUUCAUACUGAAAUUAUUGUUCUGUUUGUUGUUAUCCGAUAAUAUCUGAAAACUUGAUCUGAAACUGCUUCUGAUUUAUUAUUAUUAUUAUUAGUUAUUUUAGAAAAAUAAAAAAUAAUUUUGAACUGAUUUAGUAUGAUUUAUUACUUUUGUUUCCAAUUUUAUAUAUACAGGGAAUUGGUUUGUUAGCAGCAGGACAAAGCAGCACAAUUACAGGAACAUAUGCAAGACAAUUCAUAACUAAAGGGUUUUUGAAGUUAAAUAUAAAGAAAUUGGUAAGGUCAUUGAUUACUAGAAGUUGUGCUAUUGUUUGAACAAUGAUAGCUGCUAAUGUUUUUAAUACAUCAGAGAGUUCAUUGGAUACUAUGAAUGAAUGGCACAAUGUGGUUCAGUCAAUUCAAAUUCCUUUUGCACUCAUUCCACUUCUUAUAUUGGUGUCUAAAGAAGAGGUCAUGGGUACUUUUUAAAAUAGGCCUUAUUGUAGAGGUCACGUUUUUAACAUUAUUUUGAAAAUGAGUGGAGAAGAAAAGUUGCUGCCCCUUCAAAAUAGCGAAAGAAUCAUUUGAUUUGAAUGAGUACCCAAAAGCUUGAAUAGCAUGAGAGUCGGUGAAAGAGCCAACAAAGAUAUCCUCUUGCACUCAUCCUGAUGGCAUUGCCGAAGAAAUGUAGAGAGAGGAAUCAACAACUUCGAGGAAUAAAUUGAUGCUUUCAAGCAUGAAUAUGGUCCAAUUAUUCUCUUGGACAAGAUAAAUAAAUUGAAAGACAGUAAUUGAGAGAUCUGAAGGCAUAAGAAUCUCAAAGUCAUCCGCUAACCUCUCAAGUCUUUUCUGUAGAUUAUCAUCGGGGACAUAAAAGUAAAUAGGUUCAAUCUUAUAAAUUGUAAUGAAUUUCUAUUGAUAUUCUUGAACACUAUUUUGUAAAGAAUUGUAAGAGGCAAACACUUCUU